UUAUAUACAAAGGUCGGUGCAAAAAAGACAAACCAUCUUACAUCACCUUCUACGUGUCACUGUUCUCCUACUCCACCUCUCUUUCUAACCCUAAGCAUCUUUCUCAGGUAUAUGUCCAACCCAUAACCGCGCCACCACCACCGUCACUACCAUUACAAAUUAUUUGUAUUUUCAGGAGGUAACCGAGGUUCCAACGGUAACAACAGUGGAUGAUCUGGUUUAUGAUGGAGAGCGAUGUCUACAACCCCGACGAUGUAACAGUCGCGCUCAAUCAAAUGUUCUAUGAUUUGGGGGUUUUGUGAUUAAGAACGAAGUAUAGUAGGGUCAGUUCUAGGGUUUCAAGGUUGAAGUUCACGGCGGCACUCGGUGGCACCUUCCUUUCCAACAAAUCCUAAAUUGAUUUCUGCCUAUUGACCAUAUCAUUAUUCUGGCGAGUCAAAACAGCUCUAUGGCAUAUAAGUAAAAGAUCUGAAUUAUACUUGGUACACAAAUCACAAAUGUGCGUCUUUGCGCCCGACCCCCCAACUUUUCGCUCAGUAGUGUCCGGUAUGUACUUUACGUACAGAAUUUUUUUAGGUAUAUACGUUUUUGACUUCGGUUUUAUAAUUUUUUUUAGGUAUAUACGUUUUCGACCCUCCGAUCGGAAAUCUCAAGCGUCGCCACUUAGCAACAUAAUUUGCAACCACAUUUGUUGGUCUCGAUCCAGUCUACAUGUCAGACCAAAAUACAUCAGUCUAGAAUGGAACCCAUUGCCUACCAAAUUCAAGAACUUGAGGGAUAAUCCUCACCCUGAUGAGAAAGAAAGCUUGGCGCUUGGAAAGAAGCUGAAUUUGGCAAUCAAGCAUGUCAAAUGAAGACAAACAUACACAAUAUCUUACCUGUAAAGUAGAGUCUCGGGAUGUUAAGACAGCGAUUGGUCCAGACUCAAAUAGAGCGGCAUGAAAAUGUGAUUUCAAAGCAAGAAAACGACAACUUAUGGAUAAAAAAUGUAGCCAUAAAAGAAGCCAUCCGCUCUGGAGAAGUAAGGGUAGUGGCUGAUAUGCAUCAGAGGGUGAAACAACAGGAGAAGUAAGGGUAGUGGCUGAUAUGCAUCAGAGGAAAGCAAAAGUGGAUGAAAUGGAAGCUGCUUUGGUGAUUGCUUUUAUGAGUCAUCAAUUGAAGCGGCAACUAGAAAUAUUAUUAGGAUGGCUCAGGAUUAACAUAAUUUUUAGGAUUGUUGGUAUGCCAUUUACUUUUUUGCAAGCAUGUAUAUUGUGUGGAUGACUUUAUGAAUUUUCAUUAUUCUAGAUGUUUACAAAUGCCAGAAUAAUCAUGGUUUUGUCAA